rnacentral:rRNA from 1 species
UACGAAGGGGGCUAGCGUUGUUCGGAAUUACUGGGCGUAAAGCGCGCGCAGGCGGCUCUUCAAGUCAGGGGUGAAAGCCCAGAGCUCAACUCUGGAACUGCCUUUGAGACUGAAGAGCUUGAGUACGGGAGAGGUGAGUGGAAUUCCCGAGUGAUAGAGGUGAAAUUCGUAGAUAUUGGGAAGAACACCGGUGGGCGAAGGCGGCUAUCUGGACUGUGAUUGACGCUGAGGCGCGAAAGCGUGGGGAGCAAACAGG